rnacentral:rRNA from 1 species
AUUGAACGCUGGCGGCAUGCCUUACACAUGCAAGUCGAACGGCAGCGGGGGAGAAGCUUGCUUUUCCUGCCGGCGAGUGGCGAACGGGUGAGUAAUACAUCGGAACGUGCCCUGUAGUGGGGGAUAACUAGUCGAAAGGUUAGCUAAUACCGCAUACGACCUGAGGGUGAAAGUGGGGGACCGCAAGGCCGCAUGCUAUAGGAGCGGCCGAUGUCUGAUUAGCUAGUUGGUGGGGUAAAGGCCUACCAAGGCGACGAUCAGUAGCUGGUCUGAGAGGACGAUCAGCCACACUGGGACUGAGACACGGCCCAGACUCCUACGGGAGGCAGCAGUGGGGAAUUUUGGACAAUGGGCGAAAGCCUGAUCCAGCAAUGCCGCGUGUGUGAAGAAGGCCUUCGGGUUGUAAAGCACUUUUGUCCGGAAAGAAAUGGCUCUGGUUAAUACCUGGGGUCGAUGACGGUACCGGAAGAAUAAGGACCGGCUAACUACGUGCCAGCCGCCGCCGUAACAC